AUUGAACGCUGGCGGCGUGCUUAACACAUGCAAGUCGAUCGGUAAUGCGGGGGCAACCCUGGCGACGAGAGGCGGACGGGUGAGGAACGCUUGGGAAUCUGCCUAUCAGCGGGGGACAACCCGGGGAAACUCGGGCUAAUACCGCAUACGCUCUACGGAGGAAAGCCGGGGACCGCAAGGCCUGGCACUGAUAGAUGAGCCCAAGUCGGAUUAGCUAGUUGGCGGGGUAACGGCCCACCAAGGCGACGAUCCGUAGCUGGUCUGAGAGGACGAUCAGCCACACUGGGACUGAGACACGGCCCAGACUCCUACGGGAGGCAGCAGUGGGGAAUAUUGGACAAUGGGGGCAACCCUGAUCCAGCGACGCCGCGUGGGUGAAGAAGGCCUGCGGGUUGUAAAGCCCUUUCGGUAGGGACGAAAGCUCUCGACCUAACACGUCGGGAGGUUGACUUAACCUACAAAAGAAGCACCGGCUAACUCUGUGCCAGCCGCCGCCGUAAGAC
rnacentral:rRNA from 1 species